rnacentral:lncRNA from 1 species
GUGUAGGUCAUCACUCCAACCACUGUUAACCCUACUGGUGAAAGGGAGUUGUGCAAAGCAGUGUCCGCAGUACAGAACUGGGAUGAAGAAGAGAUGAGUCAGGAGUUUUCACACACAAAAAGUCUCAAACUGCUGCUUAAGAAGGGAAAUGACGAAGCCAUCCUUGUGAGAGAGAUUGCAUAUGGAUCAGUUUACCUAUGAAAAUAUCAGGAGCAUCUUUUAAUGGAAAAAGAACUUAAGAGAUUUGGACUUUAGGAGGUAAUUAUUGAUAAUCUACCUUGAUGUUUAA